rnacentral:rRNA from 1 species
GACGUAGGGCGCGAGCGUUGUCCGGAUUUAUUGGGCGUAAAGAGCUCGUAGGCGGUGUGUCGCGUCGGCCGUGAAAACCUGCAGCUUAACUGUGGGCUUGCGGUCGAUACGGGCAUCACUGGAGUUCGGCAGGGGAGACUGGAAUUCCUGGUGUAGCGGUGAAAUGCGCAGAUAUCAGGAGGAACACCGGUGGCGAAGGCGGGUCUCUGGGCCGAUACUGACGCUCAUGCACGAAAAGCGUGGGGGAGCAAACAGG